UACGGAGGGUGCAAGCGUUAUCCGGAUUCACUGGGUUUAAAGGGUGCGUAGGCGGGCAGGUAAGUCAGUGGUGAAAUCUCCGGGCUUAACCCGGAAACUGCCGUUGAUACUAUCUGUCUUGAAUAUCGUGGAGGUAAGCGGAAUAUGUCAUGUAGCGGUGAAAUGCUUAGAUAUGACAUAGAACACCGAUUGCGAAGGCAGCUUACUACACGAUGAUUGACGCUGAGGCACGAAAGCGUGGGGAUCAAACAGG
rnacentral:rRNA from 1 species